rnacentral:rRNA from 1 species
UACGUAGGGUGCGAGCGUUAAUCGGAAUUACUGGGCGUAAAGCGUGCGCAGGCGGUUUUGUAAGACAGCUGUGAAAUCCCCGGGCUUAACCUGGGAAUGGCAGUGGAAACUAGAGGACUUGAAUCCGGCAGAGGGGGGUGGAAUGCCACGUGUAGCAGUGAAAUGCGUAGAUAUGUGGCGGAACACCGAUGGCGAAGGCAGCCCCCUGGGCUGAGAUUGACGCUCAGGCACGAAAGCGUGGGGAGCAAACAGG